GAUGAACGCUGGCGGCGUGCCUAAUACAUGCAAGUCGAGCGAAUGAUGAGGAGCUUGCUCCUCUGAUUUAGCGGCGGACGGGUGAGUAACACGUGGGUAAUCUGCCUGUAAGACGGGAAUAACUCCGGGAAACCGGGGCUAAUACCGGAUAACAAGAGAAGAAGCAGUUCUUCUUUUUGAAAGUCGGUUUUGGCUGACACUUACAGAUGAGCCCGCGGCGCAUUAGCUAGUUGGUGAGGUAACGGCUCACCAAGGCGACGAUGCGUAGCCGACCUGAGAGGGUGAUCGGCCACACUGGGACUGAGACACGGCCCAGACUCCUACGGGAGGCUGCAGUAGGGAAUCUUCGGCAAUGGGCGAAAGCCUGACCGAGCAACGCCGCGUGAGCGAUGAAGGCCUUCGGGUCGUAAAGCUCUGUUGUUAGAGAAGAACAAGUACGAGAGUAACUGCUCGUACCUUGACGGUACCUAACCAGAAAGCCACGGCUAACUACGUGCCAGCCGCCGCGGUAAUAC
rnacentral:rRNA from 1 species